rnacentral:rRNA from 1 species
UACGUAGGGCGCAAGCGUUGUCCGGAAUUAUUGGGCGUAAAGAGCUUGUAGGCGGUCUGUCGCGUCUGCUGUGAAAAUCCGGGGCUCAACCCCCAGCCUGCAGUGGGUACGGGCAGACUAGAGUGCGGUAGGGGAGAUUGGAAUUCCUGGUGUAGCGGUGGAAUGCGCAGAUAUCAGGAGGAACACCGGUGGCGAAGGCGGGUCUCUGGGCCGGUAUUGACGCUGAGGUACGAAAGCGUGGGGAGCAAACAGG